rnacentral:rRNA from 1 species
UACGGAGGGGGCUAGCGUUGUUCGGAAUUACUGGGCGUAAAGCGCGCGUAGGCGGACCUGCAAGUCGGGGGUGAAAGCCCGAGGCUCAACCUCGGAACUGCCUUCGAUACUGCGGGUCUCGAGUCCGGGAGAGGUGAGUGGAAUUCCUAGUGUAGAGGUGAAAUUCGUAGAUAUCAGGAGGAACACCGGUGGCGAAGGCGGCGACCUGGGUAGAUACUGACGCUGAGGUGCGAAAGCGUGGGGAGCAAACAGG